rnacentral:rRNA from 1 species
UACAGAGGUCUCAAGCGUUGUUCGGAUUCAUUGGGCGUAAAGGGCUCGUAGGCGGUCCAUCGCGUCGGGAGUGAAAAGCUGGGGCUCAACCCCAGUCCUGCUUUCGAUACGGGUGGACUAGAGGUAGGCAGGGGAGAACGGAAUUCCUGGUGUAGCGGUGAAAUGCGCAGAUAUCAGGAGGAACACCGGUGGCGAAGGCGGGUCUCUGGGGCCGGAACUGACGCUGAGGAGCGAAAGCGUGGGGAGCGAACAGG